GGGUGGGUGGCUCAGUGGUUAGAGCCUAGGUCUCGUAACCGAAAGGUUCCGAGUUAGAAACUCGCCAGAGGCA
rnacentral:tRNA from 1 species